CCGGGGUGGGCGGCGGUGAGGUCGUCGCCCUCGACAUGGGCGACACGGAGGGGGAUGCCGAGCCGGUCGCUCAGCUCGCGCACCCUGGCC
rnacentral:tRNA from 1 species